CGAGUUGUAAUUUGCAGAGGGCGCUUUGGUGUUGGCAGCGGUCCAAGUUCUUUGGAACAGGACGUCACAGAGGGUGAGAAUCCCGUACGUGGUCGCUAGCCCUCACCGUGUAAAGCCCCUUCGACGAGUCGAGUUGUUUGGGAAUGCAGCUCUAAAUGGGAGGUAAAUUUCUUCUAAAGCUAAAUACUGGCCAGAGACCGAUAGCGCACAAGUAGAGUGAUCGAAAGAUGAAAAGCACUUUGGAAAGAGAGUCAAAUAGCACGUGAAAUUGUUGAAAGGGAAGCGCUUGCAGCCAGACUUGCCUGUAGUUGCUUAUCCGGACUUUUGUCCGGUGCACUCUUCUGCGGGCAGGCCAGCAUCANUUUGGGCGGUUGGAUAAAGGUCUCUGUCAUGUACCUCCUUUCGGGGAGGCCUUAUAGGGGAGACGACAUGCAACC
rnacentral:rRNA from 1 species